UACGGAGGGGGCUAGCGUUGUUCGGAAUUACCGGGCGUAAAGCGCACGUAGGCGGCUUUGUAAGUUAGAGGUGAAAGCCCGGGGCUCAACUCCGGAAUUGCCUUUAAGACUGCAUCGCUAGAAUUGUGGAGAGGUAAGUGGAAUUCCGAGUGUAGAGGUGAAAUUCGUAGAUAUUCGGAAGAACACCAGUGGCGAAGGCGACUUACUGGACACAUAUUGACGCUGAGGUGCGAAAGCGUGGGGAGCAAACAGG
rnacentral:rRNA from 1 species